rnacentral:rRNA from 1 species
GGCANGCCUAACACAUGCCAGUCGAUUCGGCUAGAGCAGGAAGCUUGCUCCUCUUGGAGGAGCGGCGGACGGGUGAGUAAUGCCUAGGAAUCUGCCUGAUAGUGGGGGAUAACGUACGGAAACNGACGCUAAUACCGCAUACGUCCUACGGGAGAANUCANNNNNNCUUCNGNCCUUGUCGCUAUCAGAUNAGCCUAUGUCGGAUUAGCUAGUUGGUGAGGUAAUGGCCUCACCAAGGCUACGAUCCGUAACUGGUCUGAGAGGAUGAUCAGUCACACUGGAACUGAGANUCGGUCCAGACUCCUACGGGAGGCAGCAAUGGGGAAUAUUGGACAAUGGGCGAAAGCCUGAUCCAGCCAUGCCGCGUGUGUGAAGAAGGUCUUCGGGAUUGUAAAGCACUUUANNUNGGGAGGAAGGGCAUNAACCUAAUAUCGUCUAGUGUAUUGGACGGUUACCUGACAGAAUAAGCACCGGCUAACUCUGUGCCAGCAGCCGCGGUAAUACAUAAGGGUGCAAGCGUUAAUCGGAAUUACUGGGCGUAAAGCGCGCGCUAGGUGGUUUGUUAAGUUUGGAUGUGACAUCCCCGGGCUCANCCUGGGGAACUGCAUUCGANACUGACUGNCUANAGUNUUGGUAAAGGGUGGUUGGAAUUCCCUGUG